rnacentral:rRNA from 1 species
GUCGAGAAUAAUUCACAAUGGGGGAAACCCUGAUGGUGCAACGCCGCGUGGAGGAUGAAGGUCUUCGGAUUGUAAACUCCUGUCAUCUGGGAGUAAGACCUGACGGUGAAUAGCCGGCAGGGUUGAUAGUACCAGAAGAGGAAGGGACGGCUAACUUCGUGCCAGCAGCCGCGGUAAUACGAAGGUCCCAAGCGUUGUUCGGAAUCACUGGGCGUAAAGGGAGCGUAGGCGGCGUGGUAAGUCAGAUGUGAAAUCCCGGGGCUCAACCCCGGAACUGCAUCCGAUACUGCCAUGCUUGAGGGUUGGAGAGGUAGCUGGAAUUCUCGGUGUAGCAGUGAAAUGCGUGGAUAUCGAGAGGAACACUCGUGGCGAAGGCGAGCUACUGGACAACAUCUGACGCUGAGGCUCGAAGGCCAGGGGAGCAAAAGGGAUUAGAAACCCUUGUAGUCC